GAUGAACGCUGGCGGCGUGCCUAAUACAUGCAAGUCGAGCGAACAGAUGAGGAGCUUGCUCCUCUGACGUUAGCGGCGGACGGGUGAGUAACACGUGGAUAACCUACCUAUAAGACUGGGAUAACUUCGGGAAACCGGAGCUAAUACCGGAUAAUAUAUUGAACCGCAUGGUUCAAUAGUGAAAGACGGUUUUGCUGUCACUUAUAGAUGGAUCCGCGCCGCAUUAGCUAGUUGGUAAGGUAACGGCUUACCAAGGCAACGAUGCGUAGCCGACCGGAGAGGGUGAUCGGCCACACUGGAACUGAGACACGGUCCAGACUCCUACGGGAGGCAGCAGUAGGGAAUCUUCCGCAAUGGGCGAAAGCCUGACGGAGCAACGCCGCGUGAGUGAUGAAGGUCUUCGGAUCGUAAAACUCUGUUAUUAGGGAAGAACAAAUGUGUAAGUAACUAUGCACGUCUUGACGGUACCUAAUCAGAAAGCCACGGCUAACUACGUG
rnacentral:rRNA from 1 species